AUUAUCGUGGAUGGGAGGGUGGCGGUGAUUGACCUUUGAUGGAGAAAGGAGAUACAGGUGGUGGUCUAUUAUCGUGGAUGGGAGGGUGGCGGUGAUUGACCUUUGAUGGAUAAAGGAGAUACAGGUGGUGGUCUAUUAUCGUGGAUGGGAGGGUGGCGGUGAUUGACCUUUGAUGGAGAAAGGAGAUACAGGUGGUGGUCUAUUAUCGUGGAUGCUGGCAUGGCGGUGAUUGACCUUUAAUGGAGACAGGAGAUACAGGUGGUGGUCUAUUAUCGUGGAUGGGAGGGUGGCGGUGAUUGAUCUUUGAUGGAGAAAGGGGGUACAGGUGGUGGUCUAUUAUCGUGGAUGGGAGGGUGGCGGUGAUUGAUCUUUGAUGGAGAAAGGAGAUACAGGUGGUGGUCUAUUAUCGUGGAUGCUGGCAUGGCGGUGAUUGAUCUUUGAUGGAGAAAGGAGAUACAGGUGGUGGUCUAUUAUCGUGGAUGGGAGGGUGGCGGUGAUUGAUCUUUGAUGGAGAAAGGAGAUACAGGUGGUGGUCUAUUAUCGUGGAUGGGAGGGUGGCGGUGAUUGAUCUUUGAUGGAGAAAGGAGAUACAGGUGGUGGUCUAUUAUCGUGGAUGAGAGUGUGGCGGUGAUUGAUCUUUGAUGGAGAAAGGAGAUACAGGUGGUGGUCUAUUAUCGUGGAUGCUGGCAUGGCGGUGAUUGAUCUUUGAUGGAGAAAGGGGAUACAGGUGGUGGUCUAUUAUCGUGGAUGGGAGGGUGGCGGUGAUUGAUCUUUGAUGGAGAAAGGAGAUACAGGUGGUGGUCUAUUAUCGUGGAUGGGAGGGUGGCGGUGAUUGAUCUUUGAUGGAGAAAGGAGAUACAGGUGGUGGUCUAUUAUCGUGGAUGCUGGCAUGGCGGUGAUUGAUCUUUGAUGGAGAAAGGGGAUACAGGUGGUGGUCUAUUAUCGUGGAUGGGAGGGUGGCGGUGAUUGACCUUUGAUGGAGAAAGGGGGUACAGGUGGUGGUCUAUUAUCGUGGAUGGGAGGGUGGCGGUGAUUGAUCUUUGAUGGAGAAAGGAGAUACAGGUGGUGGUCUAUUAUCGUGGAUGGGAGGGUGGCGGUGAUUGAUCUUUGAUGGAGAAAGGAGAUACAGAUGGUGGUCUAUUAUCGUGGAUGAGAGUGUGGCGGUGAUUGAUCUUUGAUGGAGAAAGGAGAUACAGGUGGUGGUCUAUUAUCGUGGAUGCUGGCAUGGCGGUGAUUGAUCUUUGAUGGAGAAAGGGGAUACAGGUGGUGGUCUAUUAUCGUGGAUGGGAGGGUGGCGGUGAUUGAUCUUUGAUGGAGAAAGGAGAUACAGGUGGUGGUCUAUUAUCGUGGAUGGGAGGGUGGCGGUGAUUGAUCUUUGAUGGAGAAAGGAGAUACAGGUGGUGGUCUAUUAUCGUGGAUGCUGGCAUGGCGGUGAUUGAUCUUUGAUGGAGAAAGGGGAUACAGGUGGUGGUCUAUUAUCGUGGAUGGGAGGGUGGCGGUGAUUGACCUUUGAUGGAGAAAGGGGGUACAGGUGGUGGUCUAUUAUCGUGGAUGGGAGGGUGGCGGUGAUUGAUCUUUGAUGGAGAAAGGAGAUACAGGUGGUGGUCUAUUAUCGUGGAUGGGAGGGUGGCGGUGAUUGAUCUUUGAUGGAGAAAGGAGAUACAGGUGGUGGUCUAUUAUCGUGGAUGGGAGGGUGGCGGUGAUUGACCUUUGAUGGAGAAAGGGGGUACAGGUGGUGGUCUAUUAUCGUGGAUGGGAGGGUGGCGGUGGUUGACCUUUAAUGGAGAAAGGGGGUACAGGUGGUGGUCUAUUAUCGUGGAUGGGAGGGUGGCGGUGAUUGACCUUUGAUGGAGAAAGGAGAUACAGGUGGUGGUCUAUUAUCGUGGAUGGGAGGGUGGCGGUGAUUGACCUUUAAUGGAGAAAGGGGGUACAGGUGGUGGUCUAUUAUCGUGGAUGGGAGGGUGGCGGUGGUUGACCUUUAAUGGAGAAAGGGGGUACAGGUGGUGGUCUAUUAUCGUGGAUGGGAGGGUGGCGGUGAUUGACCUUUGAUGGAGAAAGGAGAUACAGGUGGUGGUCUAUUAUCGUGGAUGGGAGGGUGGCGGUGAUUGACCUUUAAUGGAGAAAGGAGAUACAGGUGAUGGUCUAUUAUCGUGGAUGCUGGCAUGGCGGUGAUUGAUCUUUGAUGGAGAAAGGGGGUACAGGUGGUGGUCUAUUAUCGUGGAUGGGAGCAUGGCGGUGAUUGACCUUUGAUGGAGAAAGGAGAUACAGGUGGUGGUCUAUUAUCGUGGAAGCUGGCAUGGCGGUGAUUGACCUUUAAUGGAGACAGGAGAUACAGGUGGUGGUCUAUUAUCGUGGAUGGGAGGGUGGCGGUGAUUGACCUUUAAUGGAGACAGGAGAUACAGGUGGUGGUCUAUUAUCGUGGAAGCUGGCAUGGCGGUGAUUGACCUUUAAUGGAGACAGGAGAUACAGGUGGUGGUCUAUUAUCGUGGAUGGGAGGGUGGCGGUGAUUGACCUUUAAUGGAGAAAGGAGAUACAGGUGGUGGUCUAUUAUCGUGGAUGGGAGGGUGGCGGUGAUUGACCUUUAAUGGAGAAAGGGGGUACAGGUGGUGGUCUAUUAUCGUGGAUGGGAGGGUGGCGGUGAUUGACCUUUAAUGGAGAAAGGGGGUACAGGUGGUGGUCUAUUAUCGUGGAUGGGAGGGUGGCGGUGAUUGAUCUUUGAUGGAGAAAGGGGAUACAGGUGGUGGUCUAUUAUCGUGGAUGCUGGCAUGGCGGUGAUUGACCUUUAAUGGAGACAGGAGAUACAGGUGGUGGUCUAUUAUCGUGGAUGCUGGCAUGGCGGUGAUUGAUCUUUAAUGGAGACAGGAGAUACAGGUGGUGGUCUAUUAUCGUGGAUGGGAGGGUGGCGGUGAUUGACCUUUAAUGGAGAAAGGAGAUACAGGUGGUGGUCUAUUAUCGUGGAUGCUGGCAUGGCGGUGAUUGACCUUUAAUGGAGACAGGAGAUACAGGUGGUGGUCUAUUAUCGUGGAUGGGAGGGUGGCGGUGAUUGACCUUUAAUGGAGAAAGGAGAUACAGGUGGUGGUCUAUUAUCGUGGAUGCUGGCAUGGCGGUGAUUGACCUUUAAUGGAGACAGGAGAUACAGGUGGUGGUCUAUUAUCGUGGAUGGGAGGGUGGCGGUGAUUGACCUUUAAUGGAGAAAGGAGAUACAGGUGGUGGUCUAUUAUCGUGGAUGCUGGCAUGGCGGUGAUUGACCUUUAAUGGAGACAGGAGAUACAGGUGGUGGUCUAUUAUCGUGGAUGGGAGGGUGGCGGUGAUUGACCUUUAAUGGAGACAGGAGAUACAGGUGGUGGUCUAUUAUCGUGGAUGGGAGGGUGGCGGUGGUUGACCUUUAAUGGAGAAAGGAGAUACAGGUGGUGGUCUAUUAUCGUGGAUGCUGGCAUGGCGGUGAUUGACCUUUAAUGGAGACAGGAGAUACAGGUGGUGGUCUAUUAUCGUGGAUGGGAGGGUGGCGGUGAUUGAUCUUUGAUGGAGAAAGGGGGUACAGGUGGUGGUCUAUUAUCGUGGAUGCUGGCAUGGCGGUGAUUGACCUUUAAUGGAGACAGGAGAUACAGGUGGUGGUCUAUUAUCGUGGAUGGGAGGGUGGUGGUGGUUGACCUUUAAUGGAGACAGGAGAUACAGGUGGUGGUCUAUUAUCGUGGAUGGGAGGGUGGCGGUGAUUGAUCUUUGAUGGAGAAAGGAGAUACAGGUGGUGGUCUAUUAUCGUGGAUGGGAGGGUGGCGGUGAUUGACCUUUAAUGGAGAAAGGGGGUACAGGUGGUGGUCUAUUAUCGUGGAUGGGAGGGUGGCGGUGAUUGACCUUUGAUGGAGAAAGGGGGUACAGGUGGUGGUCUAUUAUCGUGGAUGCUGGCAUGGCGGUGGUUGAACUUUAAUGGAGAAAGGGGGUACAGGUGGUGGUCUAUUAUCGUGGAUGCUGGCAUGGCGGUGGUUGAUCUUUAAUGGAGACAGGAGAUACAGGUGGUGGUCUAUUAUCGUGGAUGGCAUGGCGGUGGUGGUUGACCUUUAAUGGAGAAAGGAGAUACAGGUGGUGGUCUAUUAUCGUGGAUGGGAGGGUGGCAGUGGUUGACCUUUAAUCGAGAAAGGAGGUACAGGUGGUGGUAUAGUACCGUUGGUAGGAGGGUGGGACAGUUGCUAUGAACGUCUGGCCGCCCUGCAGCUGGUCCCACUGCCAAGGCCUCACAUAACGUAGCCAUUGUUAGCAUCACUACAUUGUGUUGUCAAGGGUAACCGAGGAAGAAGUCGGCCCAAACAACGCAUCGUCCAAUCGACAUUUAAAUCACCUCUACAACCUGAAGACAGGUCCAUCCCCCUUUUGUGGGGAGCUCCAGAACAGAACAGAACUUUAUUUACUCUCAGGCAGGGAUCCUUGGUGAGGUACAAAUUCGAGGUACAAAUACAUAAGAUGGCGUGGUGGUUUACAUGGAAGAUUUUACAGUUUCCAUAAUGACAUUACGGAAUGUACAGAGUUUCUUAAUAACAUUUAUUUUUUUACAAUUAAAAAGUUCUUUAAAUUGAAAGAUAUUUGGGUUUUUUCCAAAGCCUCAUAACAUCCGUUCAAAGAGAGAGAUAUUGCUGGGUCUAGAACAUUUACAACCAAAUUCUUGUCUCAAAGAUUAACCAUAACAUUCAACACAACAAUACAAUUAUGGAAGGACUUUCUUUAUAUUCAUAGAAAGUACUUGAGACAAGUGGAAAUAAUACCAUGUUCAAUUAUGUCAAUAUCCAAUAGAAAUAUCCUCAUAAAGCAGAGUCGAUAGGACGAUUCCGGCUUUGCAUUGCCCGUAGGGAGAUCUGUUUUUAUGCAUACGUGUCAGAAGUUCUGUUCGGAUUGGCAAAAUUCUAACAGGAAGUUUAACUUAAGCUUCAGGUCUAUUGAGCCUCUGCACGGUUACGACAUUCCACGUCCUAGUAAUCUUCCAAACUGCUUUAUGGUAGGCAUGGUGCAGCUAGGAUACUUCCAAACUAUCGACUGGUUCAUUCUCUCGUUUUGACGACUGUUUGUCAUUCACUUCAGCAGAUAUCUGACUCUAGCACAUGUGUUGUGGUGAUCGUUAGUUAGGAACAUCAACUGUGCGGUCUGCAAGUCGAGCUCGAACUGACACAAGGAAGGUUGCGAAACUAACUGGCAAUGAAAGCAGCAAGGGAGACAGGUUCAUGCAGGCUGACCGCCAUAGGGAUUAUUCACUGGACACGCACGUCCAUAAUCAACCAAAUACACUGUACGAUUCUAACGUUAUCAUUAGUGUGUGGGGCGGUGGGAUAGCCUAGUGGUUAAAGCGUUCGCUCGUCACGCUGAAGACCCGGGUUCGAUUCCCCACAUUGAUACAACGUGCGAAGCCCAUUUCUGGUGCCCCCCGCCGUGAUAUUACAGGAAUAUAGCCAAGAGCGGCGUACAACAACAGUCACUCUCUCAUUAUUGUGUAUCCAUAUAUCACAAUAACAGUGAUGAUACUACGUGUUCGUGAAAACACAUACAUUUAUC
rnacentral:lncRNA from 1 species